rnacentral:lncRNA from 1 species
GGAGUACAUCAUUUUAGGGUUUACGGCAAGCAAGUUUAUAGCUUUAAAGAAAUAGAAGUUAAAGAUGUAGAGAAACAGAAGCAAGCUAUGAUAUUUUUACUAAAAUCAAUUGUGAACGAGAACAAGAACCAGGGCGUCAAUGCAAAGGUAGUGCCAUUCAAUAAAAACAUAAACUUACUACUAAUUAUAAAAGAUCACCCUUCUUCCUCUGAAUCUCCUACCAAAUUGGUUACCACACAACACCGAAACUGCAAACGUAAAGCUCUGAUCAAAUGCAAAUUUCCAAGACAGAAUAAGCAAGGAAACGCUAAAAAACUCUCCAAAUUAUACUAAAGCCAAAACAUUAAUAAAGAAAUAUUACUAAAGGGAAUGACAUGAAGCCAUCAUGGGCUGGGCCAGGCCAGGCCCAAAAAUUUUUCAGGCCGCUCCCUAUGCCCGGGCCGGGGCCCAGCCCGUUGAAAAAAUAUGAAGCCCGGGCCCAACCCGGCCCGACCCAUUUUUUUGGUCAAGCAGUAAACUAAAUUAAACCUUGAACAAAAAUUUUAGAAAAAGGAGAAAAUGGAGCAAAUCUUUUGACAUAUAAUGUAAAUUGCCCGCUAAUUUGUCGAAUUGAAGCAAUAGCUGCCAUUAUUAUAUCACAAAAUUAAUAUAUGAAGCUCUAAGACUCGAUUUCAGAGACUCGGAUGAUUCAUUCAUUUUGCUUAACAGAGAGAACGUUAAAGAUAAUCAAUAACAUAUCACAUAAUGUCUAGCAAACAAAAUGGUAGUUCAGUCCAAUCCUUGAAACCAGUAAAUUAGAGGUGUUCAUGGGCCGGGCCGGGCCCAAAAAUUUUCAGCCCACUUCCUAGGCCCAGGCCCAGCCCAAAAUAUGGGUCUGAGAUUUUGUCCAGGCCCGUCCUGGGGAAAAAAUAUGAAGCCCAGGCCCGGCCCGGCCUUUUUUUUUGCUUUGUUUAAAACUAAUUGUUAUUAAAAUUAUAUCAAAUUAUUUCUUUUUGUAUAUAAUGAACAAAAAAAUACAAUAAGAUUACUUAUUUUUUUCCAUUAGAUUAAAAUUCACUAACUAUUUAAUAAAUCACCAUUAGAUUAGAAUUCACUAACUAUUUAAUUAAUUAUGACCCGAUUAAGAAUAACAUCAACCGAAUAAAACACUUAAUACAUGUAAAUAGGGGUGAGCAUUCGAUCGAAUCGAAUCGAAAAUUUUCAAGUUAAUCGAGUUUUCGAAUCUCAUUUUAUCAUCCUAACUUUAUUUGAAAUUUUAUUGAAUCGAAUCGAGUGAGAUAGAAAUCGAAUCGAAUCGAAUCAAAUUAUUUGUUUGAGUUAAGUUUAAAAAUAAAAUAAAAUUAUUGUUGUUUAUUUUUAUGUAAUUGUUCAAAAAAUAAUUUUCUUUAAAGUUUUUAAACAUAAUCAUACAACAAAAAAUUGAAGUAAAUAAGUGAAUAAAUAAAAGUAACACAACAUCAACCCAAAUAAACAACAUGAUUCCAAAUAAAUAACAAACAUAAUACAAAAAGAUUAUAAUAAAAAACAUAAGUAAAAGUCCAAGUAAAUAGCAUGAGUCGAAAUAAACAACAUUAUAAUAAAAAAACAAAACAUAAGCAUCAAGCUUACUUGUCUUCAAUAAUCAAUUGUUUGAAAUUUACUAAAAAGUCAUCCAAAACUGCCAUUUCAUACUUCACAGUUUUAUUGAACAUAUAAACCAAUCAAAACUUGGGGGUUCAUAUCAGCUGCAAUCAACUUUGCUGUAAUUGCAAUCAACCUCAGUAUUUAUAGUAUUUUUGUGUGUGUAUAUUCAAGUGAAUUGGAUGAGUAAAAGAGAGACAGAAAUAAGGUAUAUAAAUGCCCAAACAUCAAAAGAACAAUGAGAUUAAUGAAAAAUUGUCUAUAGUCACAAUCAUCAAAUGCAAGUUCAACAAAUAGUUCCAUCCUUAACAUAAGUAAAAUCCUAAUACUGAAAUCAGAUGCUUCUGAACCUAGUUCACAAGCUGGAAGAACACAGAUCCAUAAAGUUAGACCACAAAUACAAUUUUGAAAGUUCAUGCUACAAUAUGUAGGACAACUAGGGAUUAUUAGAUACUGUUAAGUUGGCCGGUUGAACUAUAUUGUGAGAAAAACAAGGGAAUAGGGAUUUAACCGUGUAACGUUUUAUCCUUGCAGUAUGUUAGGAAGCCAGUCGACUUGAAUUAUAGAAAAAAGAUGGCUCUUUCACAUUCCAUAUACCUAGCCUCCCUUUACAAGAUCUGAAUCCAAAUCCUCCAAGUUGAAGUCCCAAGUUCUAAAAAUUAUAGUGUUCCUUUAUUCACUUGAAAUAAGGUUCACCUACAUGUUGGAGACACAAGGUGAGGGUGUUUUUAGCUUUGAAUCUAGUACCUUUCAUCCUGUUAUUUCCACCUAAUUUCAUCUUUCUAAGUUUGUUGAAUCCUUUAUGAAACAUAUCAACAGCAUGCGUGCUAAGGUUACAUUAAAGGUAGCUAUUUUAUGAAUUAUGAAGUUACAAUUAAUAUGCUUCUUCCAUUAGGAUUUAAAUACCGGUGGGAGUGUAAUAGUAUUGAAUUUAAAACAGUUAAACAUUCCAUCAAGAAAUUCUAUGUUAAACAGUUACAACUAAUAUGUAAGCCUUUUACAAGAGUAAUUAGCUAAAGGCAAAUGUGUAUACUGCAUCACAGAAAAAAGAACACAAUACAAUUAUGAAGACCAAAAAGCAGCAAAAGAGAAAAGGAAUAAAUCAAAUUUGGAUACAAUUAAACAAAUACGCAAGGACAGACAGGCAGACACAUAAACAUAUUGCUUACUUGUACAAGUGAAGGCUUAUAUCGCAGCUUCAGUUUGGGAAAGGCAUGCCCGUUAAACACUGGAGAUGUCUGAACUAGUAUAUCUGAAAAUCUGUCAUCUUCUUUUAACCAUUCAACAUAUGCAAAAGAAUGUUUUGAGGGCCCACUAUACUGCAAAAUGAAGGGGUACAGAAGAAAUUAUUAGUGGCAAAACAUGAACUACUCCUCCAAGGAAUCUGAUAGGCAUUAUGCACUGCAAACCAAGCUAUGCAACUUUCUAGCACUGCCAUCAAUAUCAAUCAUUUACUUGCAUUCAAGAAAUACUCUGCCCUUGUUUUUCCAAACAACAUACGACUUGAGUACUUUAAAAGGAAAGGAGGAAUGGGAGGGAAUGAAGAGAACAAAAAAGACCAAACUAUACUAUCUUCUACAAUUAAUCAAUAUGCUGGAAGGAACUAAGCACCAAGAGAGUGCUGAAUGAAGAUAGGAAAAAUAUGCCUGUACAUACAUGGAAAAGCAUAUGAGAACUAUAUGCAUUUUCAAUUACUAAAAUUUCUGUAGUUUAAAUUUGAAAAUAACUGUACAAGGUCAAAAAUGAAGCAAGCACUAGCAUUUGCAACCUAAUAUUUCAUUUUCGUUAGCAAAAAAAAAGGGAUAAAAAACACCCUUUUGUUUAGUCGAGCAUGAAAAAUCGAAUGAGCAGAAAAACAAUGUCGAUUCAUCACCAAAUUAUGGAGUGGUAGAAUACGACAGUAAUGACAAUGCUCAAAUCGCCUUGAAUAAUGGAAUGUAAUUAUUUGCUCAAUUAUUAAUUAAUAAAAAACGCAAGGGGCGACUGACAAAGUACCUGUGCGUUAAUCCCUUGUUCGUUUAUACAGAUUCGGCCAUGUAUGUCCAAACCCUGAAAAUAAAAUUGAAAAAAUAAAUAAAUGAAACGCCUGGUAGAGCAGAAGAAAGGAGUUUGGUUAUCGACGAUUUGAGUUUGGAUUUGAGUUUGGUUUAUGUACCGAAAACUAUAUCUGAGUUUCUGAAAGAAGUUUCGAAGAUCAAAAAUGGGUUUCAAAGGUUAUCCAAGAUUACGGAUUAUCUUCAAAGAUUGGAAGAUGAGAUGAAGAAAAUUGAUGGAUCAGUGUAAGGAGGAAGAAAUACAGUGUAAAGAAAUACAGUGUAAGGAAAGGAAUAAAAGUUAACAGACCUUUGAAAUUCAAAGGUAGAAGACGUAGAACGGUAGAAGCACUGCUCUAACCUCUGAUUCUGGAAUUGGGUGGAGCCGUGUGGAGGACCGGAGGUGGAUCGGUGGAGGUGGAUUGGGUAAAAAAGGGCAGAGGAAGAGGGCAUGGGCUGCUUAGGGAUUUUAGAAGUGAAUUUUGUUUUAAAUGUAGUGAAUUUUAAAAAUAAAAAAAUAUGGUUUAUAUUCGAAUUAUUUAAAUUAUUCCAAUUCGAAAAUUCAAUUCGAUUCGAACUCGAAAUUCGAAAAAAAUUCGAAUUGAUUCGAUUAACUCGAUUCGCUUAACUUAAAAUUCGAAUUUUUUUCGAAUCGAAUCGAAUUUUACUAACAGUUACAUGUAAACGCUCCAAAAUGUUUAUGGGAAUUGUAAAAGAAAUUUGCAAAUCCAAUAAAGGCAUAGGUUUCUUUUCUUUUCUUUUUUUUUUUUUUAUUUCCACUGGCAUGCAUGGCCAACAUAUCACUUUCUAGGCUUGUGAGUACACGACUUUCCCAAACCAUACAUAUUCACAAACAAGCAUUUCUGGGCCACUCAAUUUUGUCAUUUGCUUCGACUUAGAUAGCAUAAUUUGCAAUAAUUUCUUUCCCCAGAAUCAUAAUGCUUAAGAAUCAAAGUAUUCUGAUACAACCCUUUCAUACAUAUACUGUUUAUUUUCUGACCUAUUCUAUAGUCAUUUUCAAUAACAAGUAUCAAUUGAAUAUUCUCCAUAAAAUAUUAUAAGAACAAUUAGGGAAAAAUAAAACUGGGAAUCAGAUGUAAACAUGAAGAAAAAGAAAGCUAGGGAUUGAUUGGAAGCAUGCAACAAAUAACCAUCUGUAUACUUAAAAAAUUAAAAAUAAUUUGACAAAUUAUAGAAAAACACCCCAGGGUACGAACAUAACAUGUCUAAUAAGCUAAAUUAAAUUUUAAACAUUUAGAAAGAAAGAAUCUUAAAAUCUGCAACAUUUAGAAAGAAAGUAUCUUAAAAUUUAAAAAUUUAGAAAGAAAUUAAGCAAAAUACAACGCGAAAAUUAAGCAAAAUACAACGACAAUUAAGUAAAUUAAAAUCUGCUAAGAACUCAACACAUAGACAGACUUCUUUACCUUGAAUCCAAUUCAAACUGCAUAAAUUAGAACAUGUGUGUUGGCAACACAUUCUAACUCAACUGAAAUUCCAAAUCAAGUUUAUGGCUUAAAUUAUGAAUUAGCUUGAGAUUUGCUAUUGACUAAGUUGUAGACAUGCUCAAAUCACCUAAACUCAAAAUACUGAGUCAUCCCAAAACAUGCUCAAUAUCUCUACUUCUUCAAAAUACAACGCGAAAAUUAAACAAAAUACAACGGAAAUCAAGUGAAUUAAAAUCUGCUAAGCUCAAACCUUAUUUUAAUACCGCAGUCCGGAGAAAUAAGCAUAGGGUAAAACCAUUCUCAGGGCAUAGAAAUUAGAAUCGUAGAAAUCCAUCAUUCAGAUUAUAAAAGAAAAAAAUAAUAAUUAUUCAAUAAUCAAUAUCUCUACUUCUUUCCACAGAGGCACAGUCAUUAACGAAUAAAAUUAGCAACAUUAUUACCCAAAAAAAUCAAAAUAAUUAACAUAAAAAAUCUUAUGAACAUCAACGAAUCAAAAAAAAUUAUAUUAACAUUAUUACCCAAAAAAUCAAAAUAAUUAACAUAAAAAGUCUUUUUACCCUUAAAUGCCUGAUUCUGGAACUGGGUGCAGGACCGGAGGUAGCUUGAUGCCUUGAUUUUGGAAUUGGGAAAAAAAAGGAGGAGGGCACGAUAGGGUUAGGGAUUUGGAAGACUGUCGGGCAGUAAAGCAAAAGUUAAAAUUCUUGGAGGAGAAUAUCUUCUUCCCUCAGUGACAUCUCCCACACGUUUCCAUCAGGAGCUUUUGAUGUUGUUUCCCAAUCAUCAGGCUUAGUUUUUAACUCAAAAGAGCUUGGAACUCUUGAAUUCUCCAAGUCAGCAUUGGUAGAGUCAAAAAUCCUUCACAAUAUACAUUAUGUGUCAAAUCCCACAAGUACAGCAAUAAAUUGCUGGUAGAACCUAAAGAUGUUGUUAGCUAUGAUAUGAAGACAAGUUUCAAUAUGGAAAGUAACAGAAACCAAAAACCCUUCCAAAAUAUCACAUUAAACCAACAUAGCAAGGAAACAAAGUGUAUAAAAGAAAAGACAUACUCAGAGCAGCUAUCAAGCAAUCUAUCAAUAUCAUCCGCAGAAUCUCCCAAUUUAGCUUCUUCCAAUUUGUCAAUCUCCUUCAUCCACAACCCAGCAUGGAUUCUCUGCUUCUUCAACCUAUAAUCUUUCUUUAUGUUAUCCAAACUAUACAAUCCACCACCCUCUCCUUUCCCCUCCUUCUCUGCUUCCUCUUUCUGCUUCUGCUUAGGUGACUUUCGUCUCUCAUUCCAAUUCUCAUUCAUGUCUUCGACAAAUGCCUUGGUUUCAGCAUCGACGUCCGAUGAAAGCGCCAUUUUUGCUGAUUCUUCAUUAGAAGGGAAGUUAACAUCAGCUUCCCAAGGAGCUCUGUUCUUGGGAGAAAUGUCAUCAGGGAGCCAAGCUGUUUCCCAGGCAUCGUUCCAAGAGUCAUCUUUGCCAUUUUGAGGAGGUUUAGUGGAGAGAGUUUUGAAAAGGGAAGUCAGAUUCAAGUGGGGUUUACCAAAUUUCGAGUGAAUUCUGUACAUCACUGGCUUUGUGAUGGAUUUGGCAAUCCAAUUAAAGGAGUACAUCAUUUUAGGGUUUACGGCAAGCAAGUUUAUAGCUUUAAAGAAAUAGAAGUUAAAGAUGUAGAGAAACAGAAGCAAGCUAUGAUAUUUUUACUAAAAUCAAUUGUGAACGAGAACAAGAACCAGGGCGUCAAUGCAAAGCUAGUGCCAUUCAAUAAAAACAUAAACUUACUACUAAUUAUGAAAGAUCACCCUUCUUCCUCUGAAUCUCCUACCAAAUUGGUUACUACACAACACCGAAACUGCAAACGUAAAGCUCUGAUCAAAUGCAAAUUUCCAAGACAGAAGAAGCAAGGAAAAACUAAAAAACUCUCCAAAUCAUACCAAAGCCAAAGCAUUAAUAAAUAAAUAUUACUAAAGGGAAUGACAUGAAGCCA